AUAGUAGUAAAGAUAUGUAUAAUAAAGGCUAGAUGUUUGGCCCGCACCGCAUUUGGCGGACAUCUUACCAUGGGGAGCUCGCUCGCUCACUUGUAGUAUUGUGUUACAGGAAGCUGUAAGGCGCCUUCACAAUUCGGAAAACAACCCACAUAAAUAUGAUCCACAAACUGGGUAAGACUGCUGUUUUUCUGCUAUGUUUAUUUGGCCUUUGUGGGCCAUGCUGUUUAUGGGGUUUUACAUAUUCCUUUUAAAUGUAUUUAAUGACACACUUCUCUCUUUCCACACAGAAUAAGUUCGCCUCGUAACCAAGCAGUCAUGACUUAUCUGCUAGAGGAAUUGAAAACAACUUUUGCAGAUGCAGACCCUGAGUGUAUACAAGGUAAUUUUAAAAUGUUUGUUUAACAAUUUUAAUGUCCAUAAUUUUAGUCUCUUAUAUUUUGUCCAUCUUAUGAUUUCAAUAGUGUAGUUUCUGUCACUUAUCUGAAUUUUCUUUUAUUCAGCGUGUUGCAAGACAUACUUUGAAACACUUCGGAGAAAGUACAAUUUGUCUCAGCCAGAAAAGUCCCAGCUAAGAGAUGCCAUUAAAACAGGAGCUAAAAACCGACAAAGGAAAAGACGGUUGCUGGAUUCCAGGUCCAAGGUUGUUCAACCGAUGCAGAGAGAGAGCUUUGGCAGACUGCUGACGAGGAGGAUGCCAUUGUUGAUGGAAGGCCAGUGUGGAUUGUGAGGUCUCCAUCUCACAGGAACCCACAAUUGUCAGAACUUUGUGAGGAGCUUCAGCGCAGAUUGGAGGCAGACAUGCGCUACACUAUUUUGCAUCAUCAGCGUGUUAAGGCUGAUGGAAAUGGACAUGAUGGACCUUCCUUUCUUCAACUUUAACUAAACUGCACUGGUUUUGCAAUUUUAAUAAUUGCACCACAAACUGCACAUUUUCACUUAUUCUCUUCUAUUUUAUCUUAUUCUUUGUAUACUUAUUAGGUUAGAUUUAUUUAGUUUCAUAUUCUGCAACUUAUUUUCUUUUAAUAUUGUGUGUGUUUGCUGUGUUUGGUUACAUUUUAAAUACUUUGUGCUGUGUGUACAUAUUAAGUAGUUUAUUUAGUUUUAUAUUCUGUAACUGUUAUAAUAUUGCUUGUUUAGUAAAAUUUUAUAAAAGUACUUUGCUUUGUGUACAUAUUUAGUUUUAUAUUCUCUAACUGUUAUAAUAUUGCUUGUGUUUAGUAAAAUUUUAUAAAAGUAC
rnacentral:lncRNA from 1 species